GCAAACAGGAUUAGAUACCCUGGUAGUCCACGCCCUAAACGAUGUACACUAGUUGUUGGGGUGCUAGUCAUCUCAGUAAUGCAGCUAACGCAUUAAGUGUACCGCCUGGGGAGUACGGUCGCAAGAUUAAAACUCAAAGGAAUAGACGGGGACCCGCACAAGCGGUGGAGCAUGUGGUUUAAUUCGAAGAUACGCGAAGAACCUUACCUGGGCUUGAUAUCCUAAGAACCUUUUAGAGAUAAGAGGGUGCUAGCUUGCUAGAACUUAGAGACAGGUGCUGCACGGCUGUCGUCAGCUCGUGUCGUGAGAUGUUGGGUUAAGUCCCGCAACGAGCGCAACCCACGUAUUUAGUUGCUAACGGUUCGGCCGAGCACUCUAAAUAGACUGCCUUCGUAAGGAGGAGGAAGGUGUGGACGACGUCAAGUCAUCAUGGCCCUUAUGCCCAGGGCGACACACGUGCUACAAUGGCAUAUACAAUGAGACGCAAUACCGCGAGGUGGAGCAAAUCUAUAAAAUAUGUCCCAGUUCGGAUUGUUCUCUGCAACUCGAGAGCAUGAAGCCGGAAUCGCUAGUAAUCGUAGAUCAGCCAUGCUACGGUGAAUACGUUCCCGGGUCUUGUACUCACCGCCCGUCACACCAUGGGAGUUGAUUUCACUCGAAGCCGGAAUACUAAACUAGUUACCGUCCACAGUGGAAUCAGCGACUGGGGUGAAGUCGUAACAAGGUAACCGUAGGAGAACCUGCGGUUGGAUCACCUCCUUUCUA
rnacentral:rRNA from 1 species